rnacentral:rRNA from 1 species
CAAUAGUGUAUAUUAAAGUUGCUGCAGUUAAAAAGCUCGUAGUUGCAUUUCCGAGGCAAGGGAUUAGUCCGACCUUUGGUGGGUAUUUAAUCCUCCUGCCUCGUCCUUGAGUGGUGCUUCUUGGUAUUAAGUUAUCGAGGAGAUAGCCGCUCAUCGUUUACUGUGAGAAAAUUAGAGUGUUCAAAGCAGGCUUAUGCCGUUGAAUAUAUUAGCAUGGAAUAAUAAGAUAGGACCUCGGUACUAUUUUGUUGGUUUGAGAACCAAGGUAAUGAUGAAUAGGGACAGUUGGGGGUAUUCGUAUUCAGUUGUCAGAGGUGAAAUUCUUAGAUUUACGGAAGACGAACUACUGCGAAAGCAUUUACCAAGGAUGUUUUCAUUAA